AUGAAGGAGAAGGAACCUUGAGGAAGAGGGAAACAAGAGUAUCAUGAAGAAAGAGGAUCCUUGGGAGAGAGAAUCACUGCUGUGAGCACUAUGACGCUUCUUAUAAUUGUGUCGUUGAAGAAAAUGCAUUGGACAGCAUUGGAUGUGAAUGUAAACUGCCAUCAGAAUUUCUUAAGCAGCCGGCUGUCACAACUAGAUGGGAGCGGCUUUUUCUGGAACAAACUGGUUUGAAGAAGUUGCCAAUUUUGCAGCACCAGUAGUGGCUUAAUGAGAAGCAAGAGGAGAGCAGUAAUUGUUUUAAAAAUUGAUUCAGAUGUUAUUACACAUGAUAUUGCCUCUCAAAUUAAGUUUUCUAAGUGUUUGUUCUUAACUGGGAAACAUGACCUGUGUAAAUAUAACCAGUUUAGCCUCAAACCCAUGCAUUGUAAUGAAAAGGCUUGCAAGUAUUAAUGGUAUCUAUAGACAAAGCAAGAGGAGAAAAGAAUCUGUAGCUCACAGUCGAAACACAAGAAUUUUCCAUGUAGUUAUGUUAAAAAUCUUAUAACUGGUGCUGCCUUCAAUCUUUGACAUACCUUUUAUUAGUUUUAAUUAGUGUGUCUAUGUUUUAAGCAUUUUAACUGCAUGUGUGACUUGCUGUUAAUAAUUUUUGUUCUGAAAUCUGUAUAGUUUGAAUUUCAAGCAAAACAAUCUGUAAAACCAGGAAAGAUUGCUGUACAAAACCCUAAUUAUUUAUUUUGUAAUGGCUA